GAGGGUAUAGCUCAGUGGUAGAGCAUGUGUUUAGCAUGCACAAGGUCCUGGGUUCAGUCUCAGUACGUUUC
rnacentral:tRNA from 1 species